GCCCCAAAAAUCUAGUGUGAACUAGACUUGAUUUUACACCAUCAAGUCGAUCGUUAUGAUUACUACACAUUAGAACAAUUGAAAAAUUGCAUACAAUUUUCAACUCCCUUUCUCGCAAAAUUUUCAGCAGUUGGCUAUAUAUCCUCAUAAUAUCCCUCUAGGUUUUUAAGUUAUUUAAACCUUUAAGGAAUAUAAGAUACAAAGAGAACUUUCAUUUGAACAGUAAAACCUUGCAGUAGAAACAAAUAAUUGGACCAAACCAGAAGAAGUGG